UCCCUGCUUUUAAUGUCACUAUUACUGUCAGAGAGCUGAAAAUUAUUUUGAAAAAAACACAUUUAUUUCUUUUCUUCUCCAGGUCCUGUUUUGUUUGACUUUGUAGAGACUUGCUGUUGUUCAUGAAACAAUAGCAGACCAUUUUAAUGCCGGUGACUGAAUCCCUGUGCCCUUGGCUCCUAACUGCAGCUUCGAUGCUGACUUGCGUGCGACCUCAAUGGGUUCAUACACAAUGUGGAUCAUCUUUAGUGCACUGAUGUGUACAGUGCAAAUAGUGUUCGAACCCCCUGCAGAGGGAAAAUAUUGCACAAGAGGGAAAAUAUUUCCCUCCCAAUGUAUAAGCCUGAUUGAAAGACAUGGGAGUGGAAGAAAAAUAGCAUUAAGUGGCAUCUCCUUUGUAGAAGGGUCUCCACUGGGACUGUCUGGUGGCACUUACUUUGCUGUCCUUCUGAAGCAAGGUGAACAUAUGUGCUUCUGUGCAUGUAUAAUGGGCUGUAACUUUUUCUAUUGCUUGCCAUCACUCUAUACUCAUCCUUUUUAAAGUGCAGAGAGGAGCUUAACACUAGUAAGCAGGUUGUUCUCAAUUUUGACUACUUGUAAGUACUUGGAGGUGGACGCAAAUUACUCUCUCCAUCCAUUAUAAUCUUUAAAAUCUUUAAAUAUCCCCUUGAAAACCUAAUAUCUAAAUAGAAGUGCCCUCCAAAUAUUGCUUACUUCCAAGCACAUAGAGCAAAUGACAUCCUUUCAUUGUUCUUGGAAGUGCUCAGUAACAAAGUCUUAAUUUUUCAUAUUCCACUCAUGAACUGCAAUCCUAUACCAAUUUCCUGGGGAAAGGGACUCCAAUGUUUUUUGUUUUUUCCUGGCAUAUUGAGUUAUGCUUACAGUCUAUUACAGAAUUGUAAUUAUUGCAGAAGCAUAUUCUAAUGUAUAUCCGUCUAUAUAUAACACUACGGUAAGUUUGCAUAAUGUUCAUAUUGAGAAAACCUCUGUUUGGUGAACUUUGCAAAUGUAUGUUUUGUAACUAUUAUAUUUGAAAAUUUAAAAUAUACCCCUUAAACUGUCCAGUGGUUUGAAAAAUGGACAGUGUUUAUUUUCUUAUUGUACUAGCUUACUACUAAUUUAAAUAUAAAGGUCUCAUAGCGCUUUUGAGUAUUUUUGUUACUUUUCCAAGAGAAACAACUCAUCUCUAAUUAGCAUUAAGACACCGGAGGCCUCUCCCGCAAUUUUAGCAGCUGGCGCUUUAAUCCUCAGAUGGAGCUUUACUGUUGAUUUGUAUUGAAAGGCAGAGAAUAAAAAUGAAUGAACGGCCUAUCACAUCACAUUAGUUAUGCAGAAUGACAUGGGGGUUUUUUCAUAAAGAAAAAAAAAUACCCAAGAGACCCCUUGGUACUCUGUCACUCAGCUUAAAACAUUUUGCACACAAGCGGUGAAUGUUAGAGAAGAUCCUAUUUACUUAUGUUUAUGGCCCAGAUUUUCAUAGAAUCCAACUGUAAUAGACAGAGAGAAAAGGAAAGAAGUCUUGUGUCCCAUAUCCUUCAUAUUUUUUCUGUUAUUUGUAGGAAGACCCUGAUGAUGCUUCAUUGAUUUCCAGUCAGAUCAAUUCAUUUUGGUGAAAGAGAAUUGCUUAGCAUAGACAUCUGGCUGUCACCUCAUUCAAUUUUAAGAUGAUGCAAGGCAAAAAAUUCUUGAACAUGAAAUCACUCCAAAUAGAGGUUGUCUUUAGACAGAGAAAUGUCCUCUGGCAACCCUUCAAAUGGAGAACAGUCCUUUGCAAAGUGGGAUAUAUGGCCAACCUGUGAGAUGCAUAGCCAUAAUAUACAGAUGGCACCAGAUCCUUUUUGAUGUUGGAAACUAAGCAUCAUGAAACCUAUUUAGUUCUUGGAAGGGAGACCACCGAAAAAUGCUAAAUGUUAUAGGCUAUAUAUUCAGAAAAAGGCAAUGGCAAAACCUUAUCUGAAUAAAUAUUGCCAAGAAAGCUCCAUGAUGGGGUCACUAUGAGCUGGAUUCAACUCAAAGGCACAGGGCAGCAAUAGGAUACACAAUUUAUUUGAUGUCAGCCUAUAGUGCAUCUCCUUAUAGAGGUAUGUACAAUCUGUUUGUGAGGAAAUGACUGCAUAAAUUAUCUUAGGAAGCAGUUAAACUGUCUUAUUGACUUGUUUUUUAAAAAUAGGAUUGAUAGAACUAUCCUAAAUACUUUGAAUGUCCAUGCUCUGUAUGCAUUUCAAGUACAUUUCACUUCAAGUGUUGAAGUUUGGGACCCAAAAGAAAGGUUUCAAAUAAGAACACAAUUCCAUUGGUGGUCUCCUUAAUGACAAUUCUUGAUACCACUGAUUAGAUGACAAUCCUUCAAGCGUUAUCAGUUUUUAAUUCAGAAUCUAAAUUGUUCCAAAACAGAUCCAUUGUUUGUUUCAAAUGUUUCUAGGCACACAUGUGUUUUUAAAAGCACAAGAUGUGAUGAUAAGAUUAUCACAGGUGACAUGGCAUUGUAUUGCAAAAUUUCUUCUGCCCUUGUCCGAUCUAAGGAGGAAGACAGACAAAUAUGCUGUAUCAUAAUACAGCUAGCUACAGAGGUCCUUGAACUACUUCUAAAAGACAUCAUGUUGUAUCCUCCCCCAAUGUUGCCAAGGAAACCAGUUUAGUGUAAAAUGAAUUCUUUGUCUCCCGCUCUUUGUGAAAUUGUUUGAGCCAUCCUAUCUCAUAAAAUGUUGCUUCCCAGGUGAUUCUGAGCAGUAUUAAGUAUACAUUUGGUGGAUGGGGAGUCUAAUCUCCAAUUUGAUGCACCAAUGAAGAUGGUUCCAUUUAUCAGAAGCUUGAACAUUUUAGAUUAUAUUUCCUGAAAAAUGAUAAGAUUAUAUUCUUUUUCUAAGGCAUGUCUGAAAUAAAACCUGUGAUCUUUCUUGUAUUUCAUUUCCAUUUUUAAAAACUAUAGCUCCUCUUUGCUUACAAGCCAUUGAAACAGUGGGAGAAAUAAUUUAAAUAUUAUCUGUAAGUUUUUGGUGAGGAUUUCCAGGAGAGAAAUAUAUCUUACAUGCUACUUAUCAAAAACAGAUUGAACACGAGAAUGGAGAGACUGAACAUAAUUCAUUGUUUUAUGUACAUGGAGGUCAUGUAUAUAAUGUUUUAAGAGGGCAAAGUAAAGAUUACACUUUCAUGUGUGGAGAUAGUCAUGGCCCUUUUCCAGCUUCAGCUUUCACUGACUAUGCAAAAUCUGCCCAUAUAUAUAGGCUUUCUCAACAUUUCAGCUCUAAAAUAAAUUCAGUUAUUAAUGUUGGAUAUCUUAGGGCAGAUGGAAAGUCUCUGAUCCUCAAAUGUUCUGUGAUUUAUUGCUUUCUGUGUUUAGAAGUUUCUUUGCAAUCUUGUGGUUUUGCACCUGUGACAUCUUCUUUUGUAACUUUUUCUUUCUAUUUUUUGAAAUUACAAAAAUAGAAUAAAGGAUUAUGCCCAGUUGGUUGUUUGGAUUUCCACCUGUUUGUAUCAUUCUCUACUAUGAUAAGGCAUGAAAGGAACUCAUGGCAUAAGGCAUUCCACAACAGAAUAGCCUGAGUUUUGGACUUCCAUUCACGUUUCUCCUUCUGUUUAAGCAUUAUUUAAUUGUAAGUUCAGACACAUUAUCUGAGUACCUGCAUUAUAUUUUGUUUUGCUUCAACUGUGCAUACUUAACUUUGUUUAUUUACCUUAUUAAUUACAUGAUUGUAUGUUGAAGAGUUGAUGUAAUUAAUAUUGAACAGAGCCUGAUUGGUAUGGGGAAAAUGAAAGCAGAAUUACAAUAGGAAUGCAUUUAAUUUUCUCAUUUCCUCCAAUGAGACAAAAUCACAUAAAAGUCACCCAAUUAAUUUCAUGGGAAAUUGAGAACUACAAGCUGGAUCUUCAAAAUCUGAGUCCAACACUAUUAUCAUUUUAUUAUAGUAUUAUUUAUUUCGUGUCAAAAGCAUUGCAUAAAUGAAUAAGAUCAGAGGCAGCUAAAUAAAUUUAGACCCAAAACAGGCAACAGUGACUACAUUGUCUGUAGCUUUAACAAGUUCUUCCUUUGUACAUGAGGCAGGGCAUUGUGGGCAAGCAUACAGAUGCUGAAUUUUUUGUUCUGCUCCACAGUUACACAAGGUGGAGCAUUCUUCUAGAUAGUGCCUUUUGGCCAGUUUGUCUUUUGAUCUGCCAACUCCAUUUCUGAGUCCAUUUAGGGACUUUCAAGUUGCCCAUUCUUGGUUUUCCCCUGGAGGAAGAACCUCGUGGGGGGCCAUCAAGUUGGAAUUGCCUGAUUUUGUUGCCCACAGGGAUAUUCUUGCCGUUGCUGGAAGAACAUUUAGAGGAGUGGUUGUUCUCAUGAAACUUUUCCUUGAUUUAAGUCUACUGGAAGGAGGCUGAUAGCCAUACUGUGGGUAGCUUUCACAGUGUUUAACCUUAUUUCUCUCACAAUUGGCGGCAAUUUUCCAUUGCACAUCAAGGGAGGGGGCAAUGUCAUUUAUCUUAUAAAGUCUAUCCACAGGUGUAGGUUUGAGACAUCCUGUGAUUUUUCUACAUGUCUCAUUCAAUGCUAUAUUCACCUGCUUUGCAUGGGCAAACGGGGCAGGCAUACUCAGAAGAUGAGCAGGACAAAGCCAGGGCUGAAGUGCUUAUUAAUUUUGGGUUUGCACCCAAAACUUUAUUAUAGUGAGACCCUCUAACCUCAUUAUAAAGGGCGAAAAUCAGUGGCAUAUGCUGGUUUAACCCAGGUCACCCACGGAGCCCACUGGCUCCUAUCAAAUGACACCAUCGGGGAUCUGUGGAUGAAGUAGGAUGGAGCCGAUGCAUACCACUGCUGCAGCAACACAGGAGGCUUCCUGUGUUGCCAUAGGAAGCUACAGGGAGAAGCGUGGGCCAUCCAAAAACAUAUAGAUAUGCCUCUAACAGGAUAACAGGAUGCUGACCUGUGUGUAUUGCUGCAGUGGAAAAUCGCCUUGAGAUACUACAGAUGAUCUAUCCGUUAUACUUGCCCAUUCUGGUCAACUUUAUUAUGCUUCCCUUCUAUUUUGGGAUGCAACUUUCCUUCUGAGGGCCUCUAGCUAAGGAGUAUUAUUGAUUUGUUUUCUCCCUUUUAAUAUUUAUGUUUCAGUUGUUCUGUUUGAAAGGCUGCCAGCCACGUUGUCUGUAUCAGUGUUGGGACUCCCAAAUGCAUUUUGGCCCGUAAAAGAACCAACUCAUCUAAUUGAAUUAACUCUGUUCUGCUUAAUAGAGUUUGUCAUGAAACACUAAGUAGAUGUGACAAUGAUCACAAUAAAUCAUACUUUGUAUCUGCUCUCUGGAUAUUAACUAUUAACUGGCUGCUUAGAGAUGUAUCCCUCUUUCAGAUUGGGUAUCUAUCUACAUGUAGGUCAAUCUUCUUACACAGAUGGAUACAAUAUCACAAAGAGACGGCUAACUUGAAGUUUGAAUAUUGGCAAUGAACUUGUCUAAUUAAGAAAUGCAGAUGGCUCGUGCUACCUAGCAAUUUUCACCUUGCUUGAUGCAACUCCAAUUAUAAGCCUUCCCUGCAGACGUAACACUGUAUAAAUCAUGAAAUCAGGAGGUUGGAUAUCUAUUCACCUGUUCACAAAGAUAAGUCAAAUACAUUGUUCUUUUUCUAUGUAAAGCAUGUGAUCAUUGUUUUAAUAUCAGUCUUGAAAAGUUCAUUUAAAAGCGAGGGGAACAUAUUAAUGAUUUUUUCAGACAAAGCCCAGCUGAAUAAUAUCUAUAAGGUUUUGGAGAACAUAAUGAAAAUGGAUGGAAAUUUUGUAAGAGAAACACACUAAUGUUUUGUGUCAGCAUCAAUUAUGCUAGACAAAUUUUAUAUGGACUGCCCUUUUAAUUACAGGUGAGAGUAAAAUUACAGAAAAUGGUGUGUAGUUGGAUAAGACAGAUAACUGGGUCUUAAACAGACAUUGUUAUUAAUUUGUUGUAAUGUCAGGUCCUCAAAUAUCAUGCACUAAGGAGUAAAAUAUGCACACUUUUAAAAAAAGUGUUAUUCUUUUGCCACCAGGCAUAAUUAAAGGGACUUCUAGGUGCAAUUCUACCCAAUCCUGGACAUUGGAUUGGCCUCAUAUGGAUGCUGGAUUGGAAAUCACAGAACCACCUUGGAAGUGGUAAGGAGGCCUGGCUUCCUAGCUAUGCAAGCAUGGUUCAGCAAUCAGACUGACCACAAGAACAUUGAUGACAGUCAUGACACGGGGGGUGCGGAUGACAGAGGACUGCCAUCCCACAUCCCUGAGCCACCCCAUUCUGGAGAACAUGGGAUGGCAAUCAAGACACGUGUCUGGUUCUGCUUUGGAACUGGCACAGCUGAGUUGACUGCCCUGAACUCAGGGGAGAACCCAAAUCCUGGGCUAGGAUUUGAGUUUCCCCUGAGUUAGCUAGAUCAGCCCCGAGUUUGCUCCUAGGCAAGAAUUUGGGUUUUCCCCUGAGUAAGCUUGAUCAGGCCUGUGCAGUGUUCAGCUACCAUGGGGUUGAUACAUUUACAUACUGACCUACAUGGUCAGAGUACAUGUGCCCUUAAAUAAGCAGAAAUGUCACACACAACAAAGUGCAACAGAUAUAAAAGAGUACCUAACCAAUUUACUCCCAUAUCUUCAAGUGCAACUUGGAAAAUGGGAUCACAAAAUCAUACUGCUGCCAUUAUCUAGACCAGUGGUUUCCAAACUUUGGUUCUGCAGGUGUUUUGGACUUCAGCUCUCACAAUUCCUAACAUCUGAUAAUCUGACUGGGAUUUUUGGGAGUUGAAGUCCAAAACAACUGGAGGACCAAAGGUCAGGAACCACUGAUCUAGACAAUUGUGGAAGAUUUGUACCAAGCUAUCUUUAUUUUUACUUCAUGCUUUCAUAUUUUUUUGGUUUGGGUUUUCUGUAUUGGCAUUGGAGUGAAGCAAAACUAGAGUAUUGUGACACUAGAUUGUGGUGGUGAUGAUGACGACGACGACGAUAUUUAUUUCUACCCUACUUUUCUCCCCAUAGGAACUCAAGGUGACAAAAAAUUAAACAUACCUAAUACAAAUUUAAAGUAAGACAUACAUUUUUUUAAAAAAAAUAAUUAAAACAUUUGUUGUUUAUACAUAGGUUAAAAGAAAUGCCAUUAAAAUUACAUUCAAACCCCUAAUACCCCCAGCAUCUCAUCCACAACCUUCUCAGUAGUGUGUCCAUCCUCCCUCAAUGCCUGAUGGGAAAUAAAUGUCUUAACCUGCUUAUGAAAUACAAGCAGGGAUGAGGAAGGAGUUUCCAGAUGACUAAUAGGUGAAUUGUGCCAUGAGCUUUUGUGUACCAGAUUCCAUUCUUUGCUUGCUUUCAGAAAGUGAGAUUCUGGUUGGCAGAGAUACAACAGAAAUUGUAAAUACUAGGCUGAAAAGCACAUUUUAUAUUCAGAACUCAUAUACACGAAGGAAAGAGAUCCAUGCUUUAAGGAAUUCCCCCCAUCCUCACAGCCUCUUUUUCUGAGAACAAUUUUGUUGUCACAAUUUUCCCUGUGUAAUGGAAUAGAAACCUGUGAUUCAAAAUGCCAUUGCAACAUUUGCUGAUCAUUUGUUAUCCUGGAGUCCCCCUUUGCAGUUUUUCUCACAAUAAUGUACAUUCUCAAAUUGAUGAUAUUUUAUGUAUCUGACAAAGUUGUCCAUGAAAUGUUAUGCCUCAAUAAACCUGAAAGUCCUGAAAGGUA